rnacentral:misc_RNA from 1 species
GAAAUGCGAUAAGUAGUGUGAAUUGCAGAAUUCAGUGAAUCAUCGAAUCUUUGAACGCACAUUGCGCCCCUUGGUAUUCCAUGGGGCAUGCCUCUUCGAGCGUCAUUUGUACCCUCAAGCUCUGCUUGGUGUUGGGUGUUUGUCCCCGUCUCCGCGCGUGGACUCGCCCCAAAGUGAUUGGCAGCCGGCGUACUGGUCCCGGAGCGCAGCACAUGUCGCGCAAACGAGUGCCUUGGUACGGCGGCGUCCAUAAGCCCCUCUCUCACGCUCUUGACCUCGGAUCAGGUAGGGAUACCCGCUGAACUUAAGC